UUGAAAUAUUUUUGUUUGUUCUGUAACGACUAGAUUUUUGAAUGCUUUCUGAAAAGCAUUCAGAAAUUAGAACGCAAAUUUCUUUUAUUUGAAUGAAAGAAAAUGAUAUAGUCUAGAAAACUUCCGAGAAAAUGAACUCCGUGCCAGCAGCCGCGGUAAUACGGGGGGUGCAAGCGUUGUCCGGAAUGAUUGGGCGUAAAGCAUCUGUAGGUGGUUCUUAAAGUCGACUGUUAAAGCCCAGGGCUUAACUUUGGAUAAGCGGUCGAGUACUUAAGGACUUGAGUUUGGUAGGGGUAGAGGGAAUUCCUAGUGGAGCGGUGAAAUGCACAGAGAUUAGGAAGAACACCGAGGGCGAAAGCACUCUACUGGGCCAUAACUGACACUAGAGAUACAAGAUGGUCUUA
rnacentral:rRNA from 1 species